rnacentral:rRNA from 1 species
UGUUGGGUGCCAACCCUGCGCGCAAUGAAAGUGAACGGAGGUGAGAGCNNNUCUGNGCNCAUCAUCGACCGAUCCUAGNUNUNUUCGGAUGGNUUUGAGUACGAACAUGGNUGUUGNCCCCCGAAAGANGGNGAUCUAUGCCUGAAUAGGGUGAACCCAGAAGAANCUNNGGUGGNNGCUCGCAUCGGUUCUGACGUGCAAAUCGUUCGUCAAAUUUGUACAUAGGNGCGAAAGCUUAAUCGAACCGUCUGGUANCUGGUUCCUGCCGAAGUUUCCCUCAGGAUAGCAGUAACGGAUUCAGGUUUAUGAGGUAAAGCGAAUGAUUAAGAGCCUUGGGGUUGAAACAACCUUAACCUAUUCUCAAACUUUAAAUAUGUAAGAAGUCCUUGUUGCUUCGUUGAACGUGGACAUUUGAAUGNAUCGUUACUAGUGGGCCAUUUUUGGUAAGCAGAACUGGCGAUGCGGGAUGAACCGAACGUGAGGUUAAGGUGCCGGAAUGCACGCUUAUCAUCCUAGACACCCACNAAAGGUGUNAAUGCAACCAGACAGCCGGACGGUGGCCCAUGGAAGUCGGAAUCCGCUUAGGAGUGUGUAACAACUCACCGGCCGAAUGCAUUGGCCCUGAAAAUGGAUGGCGCUUAAGCGUGCUACCUAUACCUCGCCGUCGGGGUNGAAAUGAGGNCCCGACGAGUAGGCAGGCGUGGGGNUUGGGACGA